GACAAACGCUGGCGGCAUGCCUAACACAUGCAAGUCGAACGGACAGAACAGGGAAGCUUUUCGGAGUGGAACUGGAAAGUUAGUGGCGGAUGGGUGAGUAACGCGUGGACAACCUACCUUGUAAAGGGGAAUAACCUCGAGAAAUCGAAGCUAAUACCCCAUAAUAACCUUGCUUCGCAUGUAGUAAGGAGGAAAGGCGGCCUUAGCGCUGUCGAUACAAGAUGGGUCCGCGUCUGAUUAGCUAGCUGGUGAGGUAAAGGCUCACCAAGGCGACGAUCAGUAGCCGGCCGGAGAGAGUGAACGGCCACAUUGGGACUGAGACACGGCCCAAACUCCUACGGGAGGCAGCAGUGGGGAAUCUUCCGCAAUGGGCGAAAGCCUGACGGAGCAAUGCCGCGUGAGUGAAGAAGGCCUUCGGGUUGUAAAACUCUGUCCUUAUCGAAGAGAGAGUGUUGUAGUAACUGACAAUACUAGGACGGUAGAUGAGGAGGAAGCCCCGGCUAACUAUGUG
rnacentral:rRNA from 1 species